GAAAGCUGUGUGCAAUGAAAAAUGCAAGCACGGUUUGGGGAGGGGUUUUUUACCUUUUUUUUUUCAUUUUAACAAGGAGAUUAUCUACUCCAU
rnacentral:ncRNA from 1 species